rnacentral:rRNA from 1 species
ACCGGCGGCUCGAGUGGUGGCCACUAUUACUGGGCUUAAAGCGUUCGUAGCUGGCUUUUUAAUUCCCUUUUUAAAUCUUCCGGCUUAACCGGGAGGCGUCUCAGGGAUACUGGCAGGCUAGGGACCGGAAGAGGUGAGAGGUACUCCAGGGGUAGGAGUGAAAUCCUGUAAUCCUGGGGGGACCACCUGUGGCGAAGGCGUCUCACCAGGACGGCUCCGACAGUGAGGAACGAAAGCUGGGGGAGCAAACCG